rnacentral:rRNA from 1 species
UACGGAGGGUGCAAGCGUUGUUCGGAAUUACUGGGCGUAAAGCGCGUGUAGGCGGCUGCCUAAGUCUGGUGUGAAAGCCCGGGGCUUACCCCCGGAAGGGCACUGGAUACUGGGCGGCUAGAGUACCGGAGAGGAGGGUGGAAUUCCUGGUGUAGCGGUGAAAUGCGUAGAUAUCAGGAAGAACACCGGUGGCGAAGGCGGCCCUCUGGACGGAUACUGACGCUGAGACGCGAAAGCGUGGGGAGCAAACAGG